GAACGCUGGCGGCGUGCCUAAUACAUGCAAGUAGAACGCUGAAGGAGGAGCUUGCUUCUCUGGAUGAGUUGCGAACGGGUGAGUAACGCGUAGGUAACCUGCCUGGUAGCGGGGGAUAACUAUUGGAAACGAUAGCUAAUACCGCAUAAGAGUAGAUGUUGCAUGACAUUUGCUUAAAAGGUGCAAUUGCAUCACUACCAGAUGGACCUGCGUUGUAUUAGCUAGUUGGUGGGGUAACGGCUUACCAAGGCGACGAUACAUAGCCGACCUGAGAGGGUGAUCGGCCACACUGGGACUGAGACACGGCCCAGACUCCUACGGGAGGCAGCAGUAGGGAAUCUUCGGCAAUGGACGGAAGUCUGACCGAGCAACGCCGCGGGAGUGAAGAAGGUUUUCGGAUCGUAAAGCUCUGUUGUAAGAGAAGAACGAGUGUGAGAGUGGAAAGUUCACACUGUGACGGUAUCUUACCAGAAAGGGACGGCUAACUACGUG
rnacentral:rRNA from 1 species